rnacentral:rRNA from 1 species
GACGAACGCUGGCGGCGUGCUUAAUACAUGCAAGUCGAGCGAGGUUACUGUUUUGGAUCCCUUCGGGGUGAAGAAGCUUUAACCUAGCGGCGGACGGGUGAGUAACGCGUGGGUAACCUACCCCAAAGUCCGGGAUAACAGCGGGAAACCGCUGCUAAUACCGGAUGCCUUUACCUUGGGGCAUCUUGAGGUAAAGAAAGGUAACGCUUUGGGAUGGGCCCGCGUCCCAUUAGCUAGUUGGUGAGGUAAUGGCUCACCAAGGCGACGACGGGUAGCCGGCCUGAGAGGGCGACCGGCCACGACUGGGACUGAGACACGGCCCAGACUCCUACGGGAGGCAGCAGUGGGGAAUAUUGCACAAUGGGCGAAAGCCUGAUGCAGCGACGCCGCGUGAGGGAUGACGGCCUCGGUUGUAAACCUCUUCUAGCAGGAAGAAGCGAAAGUAGACGGUACCUGCAGAAGAAGCACCGGCUAACUAACGUGCCAGCAGCCGCGGUAAAGUACACGUCG